ACUUAUCUGACUAAUUUGAUAAAUUAUAUUUUGAUUAGAUUGCUAAGUAAUUCGAGUUAACCCUUGCCAUUAAGGUUGAUCAGUGUGACUGAUCUAGGAGUCGGUUCGACCAGCAUGACCUUAAUCCAAUUCAAUGACUUAGUGAAGCUAGUGAGAGGAUUAUGGUUUGCUGAUUGAUCUCUUCUUUUUUUUCUCUUAAUUCACAAAUUAAAUCUUCUAAAUUAUUAGGUUCCUUAAAUGAGAUAGUUAUGGUGAUAACUAAAUCAUAGCUUCCUAUUAAGUUGG
rnacentral:lncRNA from 1 species